rnacentral:rRNA from 1 species
GUGCCAGCAGCCGCGGUAAUACGUAGGGUGCAAGCGUUAAUCGGAAUUACUGGGCGUAAAGCGUGCGCAGGCGGUUAUGUAAGUCAGAUGUGAAAUCCCCGGGCUUAACCUGGGAAUUGCAUUUGAGACUGCAUGGCUAGAGUGUGUCAGAGGGGGGUGGAAUUCCACGUGUAGCAGUGAAAUGCGUAGAUAUGUGGAGGAACACCAAUGGCGAAGGCAGCCCCCUGGGAUAACACUGACGCUCAUGCACGAAAGCGUGGGGAGCAAACAGGAUUAGAUACCCCGGUAGUCC